rnacentral:rRNA from 1 species
UACGAAGGGGGCUAGCGUUGCUCGGAAUUACUGGGCGUAAAGCGCGCGCAGGCGGUCUUCCAAGUCAGUGGUGAAAGCCUGGAGCUCAACUCCAGAACUGCCAUUGAAACUGUUAGACUUGAGUACGAGAGAGGUGAGUGGAAUUCCCAGUGUAGAGGUGAAAUUCGUAGAUAUUGGGAAGAACACCGGUGGCGAAGGCGGCUCACUGGCUCGUAACUGACGCUCAGGCGCGACAGCGUGGGGAUCGAAACAGG